AGAUAAAGUCUGACUAUGUUGCCCAGGCUGAUAUCUCACUCCUGGGCUCAAGCUAUCUGCAAACCAGAGCCUCCCAAAGUGCUAGGAUUACAGGGCAUGAAAACAAAAAGUAAAAUGAUGGUUGGAAAAAAAUGAAGAGUUUGACUAUAAAAUACAUUAUUAGAACAUGAAAAACAUCUGUGAAAUGUUUAGUAGAGUACAUUGUUACUUAAAGAUUACUUACAUGUGUCUCCUGUCUGACCAACUGUAAAUAGGUGUAAACUUUUCUUCUAAAGAGAAGAUAAUAUAAAUCUAGUUUAUUUGAAGAAUGAUGUAUAAUGAAACAUUAUUAAAUUUGAGUGGUACUUAAGAUACAAAUCCAAGUUGAGAAAAACACUGGUAAGAAUGCUAUUGAAUAAACUACUGACAAAAAGAGUCCCUGGAAAAUUCAUUAUAUUCUUGUUCCUAUCUUUAAGAGAACAGGGCACUUCCUUAAGAGCACAGGAAUCAGUUCUUCAGACAAAUAUAUUCAGAUACUCCUUGUGUUAUUCUCCACUAGUUCCUUCCAGAAGGUUUUACCUGAAAUCUCUAGUCGACAAUCUUUGCUGAAAAUAUAAUUAAUCUAUCUCCCAUAUUUCUGAACUCUAAAGAUUUUUGUUCUGAUCCUUUUAAUCAUGCCAGAAAUUGUAAAGUUAUUUUUCCACCAUCAUGCAAUGAACAUGGCAUCAGAAAAUUAGUUCCUAGUCUCCUGAGCAGUCACUCUUCUGCUUUGCUUCAUCAUUUUUCUUUGCAUGUCAGUUUCUGCCAAUAGUAAAUUGAGAAAGAAUAUUCACAAAAUUGCCUUUGGCUCACAGGAGUUGUAGCAAAAUUAUGUCUUCAUAGCUACACAA
rnacentral:lncRNA from 10 species